rnacentral:rRNA from 1 species
GGGUGAGUAACGCGUAUGCAACUUACCUAUCAGAGGGGGAUAACCCGGCGAAAGUCGGACUAAUACCGCAUGAAGCAGGGGCCCCGCAUGGGGAUAUUUGCUAAAGAUUCAUCGCUGAUAGAUAGGCAUGCGUUCCAUUAGGCAGUUGGCGGGGUAACGGCCCACCAAACCGACGAUGGAUAGGGGUUCUGAGAGGAAGGUCCCCCACAUUGGUACUGAGACACGGACCAAACUCCUACGGGAGGCAGCAGUGAGGAAUAUUGGUCAAUGGCCGAGAGGCUGAACCAGCCAAGUCGCGUGAGGGAUGAAGGUUCUAUGGAUCGUAAACCUCUUUUAUAAGGGAAUAAAGUGCGGGACGUGUCCCGUUUUGUAUGUACCUUAUGAAUAAGGAUCGGCUAACUCCGUGCCAGCAGCCGCGGUAAUACGGAGGAUCCGAGCGUUAUCCGGAUUUAUUGGGUUUAAAGGGUGCGUAGGCGGCCUUUUAAGUCAGCGGUGAAAGUCUGUGGCUCAACCAUAGAAUUGCCGUUGAAACUGGGGGGCUUGAGUAUGUUUGAGGCAGGCGGAAUGCGUGGUGUAGCGGUGAAAUGCAUAGAUAUCACGCAGAACCCCGAUUGCGAAG